rnacentral:rRNA from 1 species
CCUACGGGAGGCAGCAGUGGGGAAUAUUGGACAAUGGGGGGAACCCUGAACCAGCAACGCAGCGUGAGGGAAGAAGGAUUUCGGUAUGGAAAGCUCUAUCAGCAGGGAAGAAAAUGAAGGUACGUGACUAAGAAUCCACGUCUAACGAGGAGCCAGCAGCCGCGGAACUACGGAGGGUGCAAGCGUUAUCCGGAUUUACUGGGUGUAAAGGGAGCGUAGACGGUGCAGCAAGUCUGAUGUGAAAGUUCGGGGCCCAACCCCGGGACUGCAUGUGAAACUGGUGAACUGGAGUACAGGCGAGGUAGGCGGAAUUCCUAGUGUAGCGGUGAAAUGCGUAGAUAUUAGGAAGAACACCAGUGGCGAAGGCAGCUUACUGGACUGUCACUGACGUUGAGGCUCGAAAGCGUGGGGAGCAAACAGGAUUAGAUACCCGUGUAGUC